UUUCAGGAGAGCGUCUUCUGUGAACCGUCACCGGAGUCAAAUCCCGCCUGUGAGCAACACGGCACACCCCCUCACCAGGCUGCUAGAGUCUUUGAAAGUCUAUUGGCAGAGCCCAUCUUGGAAGGUGAGGGCAACUUGUAUUUCAAAAGCUUGCAACUACAACACUUGAAAAACUAAUGCCGAGGUAGAAGGGAAGGGAAAGUUUGAUCAGGCAAGCUGGAGGCUAGUGUAUGCACCACAGAUACCUAGCUUACUUUCUGUUGAUCCUACUGUGGAUCCUCUCAAAUCCCUGGCCAGUAAUAUUUCAUUUGGUACAGAAGUUGAAGUCCAACUUGGGAAACGUCUUACAGACACUUGGGAGAUAUUGUUACUUUUUACCUUUGAAUGUUGUUAUGAUCCUAUAGGAGAUAUUUGUCUCCUCCCGACCUCAAUUGUUCGACAAAUGAAGGACUUGGAAAUGGCAAUGCAAUGAACAUUAAUCUACCAGCUUACCAGCCGCCUGCACGUUCAAAAAGCCUCAUUUUUGAAUAUUCUGCUACAACUUGGGAUUAAUCUGCUAGCCAUUAUACUUUUAGUUGUGAACCAGAUGAAGUGUUCACUUGUAGCUUUUAAAUUUCCUCAACUGUCAAUUGUACAUAUGACACUAUUUGCUCAAAAUUGAAUGAGGCCCCUUUGUAAGUUCAC